CAGGCGAGCGGGCGGAGCGCUGGGGCCGCGGCCCGAAGGCGCCGGCGCUGCUCCGAGGGCAGCCCUGCCCCUCCCCACAGCCGGGCAGGGCACCGCAGGCUACCUGCGAGGGAGGGCGCGUUGGGACACGCAGCGCGCACGCUGCAGCAGCUGCUGGCCCCCCACGGCUGCGUUUGCCCUUAACUGUUUUCUCCCAGCCGCUACAGUAACUGCGGCCCUGCUCACCCCAGCAUCAGAUGGGUGCCCAUGAAAACCCAUUUCAGUUUCAGCAAAGCGACGUUAAAGACUGUCUCAGUAGCACAUAAAUCUCAACAACACAGACUGCCAUCAGCACAAUGGGAAGCAGUGAAACUGGACUGCAUCCCAGAGCAUCCACGCACCUUUUUCAUAUUGCCACCGAGUAAUGAGUAAGGAGGUUUGUUGAUGUGGCUCCAGUCAACUGGCACACGCGUCAUUUCAUACAAUUGGAAGAUGAUUAAAGCAUCAGAAAGGUCACUAAACCAGAGCAAAACAAUGUUUUUAAGUACAAAAGCUCAGAUUGACAAUGAAAGUAAGUACUUGAGAUUUCUCACAGUGUAAUUAAGUUGCUGAAAAAUUGCAGACUCUUUAAUAAAAAUUUGUGCUGUUAGGUAAA